rnacentral:rRNA from 1 species
AGAGUUUGAUCCUGGCUCAGAAUGAACGUUGGCGGCGUGGAUUAGGCAUGCAAGUCGGACGGGCCGCGAGGCCAGUGGCGGAAGGGUGAGUAAGGCGACGGUAACCAACCCCGCGGGCGGGCAUAGCCGGGGGAAACCCCGGGUAAUUCCCGGCGACGUGGCGGCCCGGCAUCGGGCGGCCACCAAAGAUUCAUCGCCGCGGGACGGGCCGUUGUGGUAUUAGGUGGUUGGCGGGGUGACGGCCCACCAAGCCUGCGAUGCCUACCGGGCGUGCGAGCGUGGCCCGGCACACUGGGACUGAGACACUGCCCAGACUCCUACGGGAGGCUGCAGUCGAGGAUCUUCGGCAAUGGGCGCAAGCCUGACCGAGCGACGCCGCGUGGAGGACGAAGGCCUUCGGGUUGUAAACUCCUGUCGAGGGGGAGGAAGCCUUCGGGUUGACCGAUCCCUGGAGGAAGCACGGGCUAAGUUCGUGCCAGCAGCCGCGGUAAGACGAACCGUGCGAACGUUAUUCGGAAUCACUGGGCUUAAAGCGCGUGUAGGCGGGCCGCCCCGUCGGCUGCUGAAAUCCCCCGGCUCAACCGGGGWRCGGGCACCGAUACGAGCGGCCUGGAGGGGGGUAGGGGGGCCUGGAACUUCCGGUGGAGCGGUGAAAUGCGUUGAGAUCGGAAGGAACGCCCGUGGCGAAAGCGAGGCCCUGGACCCUUACUGACGCUGAGACGCGAAAGCCAGGGGAGCGAACGGGAUUAGAUACCCCGGUAGUCC